rnacentral:rRNA from 1 species
CACCAAGAAAUUUAGUUAUACGUUUUAUGGUUAAAAGACAGUUAAAUAUUUAGAGCGUGAUGUGGGUCAAUUUAAUAGUCUGUAUGGAGGUAAAAUUCAAGUAUAGAUAUAAAAUUUAUUAAUGACUUAUAGAUUGAAUCUGUGAAAGCCUUAAGGGAAACUGGGAUUAGGUACCCCAUUAUUUCUGGGUGUAAAUUAAAUAAAAUUUACCAGAGUACUAUGAAUAUAAAAAAUUUAAAACUCAAAGAACUUGGCGGUGUUUUAGACCACUCAGGGGAACCUGUCUCGUAAUCGAUAAUCCACGUUGUAUCUGACCUUUCUUUGUUUUCAGUUUGUAUACCGUUGUCGUCAGGUAACUUUUUAGAAACUAGAAGUUAGCAGUAGAAAUAUGGUGAUUUAACACGUCAAAUCAAGGUGCAGCUAAUAGAAAGGGGAGGAUGGGUUACAAUUAUAUAAUUUAUAAUUACGGAUAAAUAUGUGAAACACGUGUUGUUUAAGGCGGACUUGAAAGUAAAUUAGGAUAUAUAAAUAAUUUGAAUAAGGCUCUGAAACGUGU